CAGGGAAGAUUUCAUUAGUCUGGUUGCUGGCUAUAUUCCAGGACUUAUCUGGUCCUGGAUAUAACCACUGCCAGACUGAAUGGUGCUAAAG
rnacentral:pre_miRNA from 7 species